rnacentral:rRNA from 1 species
GAUGAACGCUAGCGAUAGGCCUAACACAUGCAAGUCGAGGGGCAUCACAUGAAGCAGCAAUGCGGAUGGUGGCGACCGGCGCACGGGUGAGUAACACGUAUGCAACCUGCCUUCAACAAGGGCAUAACCCGUUGAAAGACGGACUAAUUCCCUAUGACACAGGGGUCCCGCAUGGGGAUAUUUGUUAAAGAUUUUAUCGGUUGAAGAUGGGCAUGCGUUCCAUUAGCUUGUUGGCGGGGUAACGGCCCACCAAGGCAACGAUGGAUAGGGGAACUGAGAGGUUUAGCCCCCACACUGGUACUGAGACACGGACCAGACUCCUACGGGAGGCAGCAGUGAGGAAUAUUGGUCAAUGGACGCAAGUCUGAACCAGCCACGUCGCGUGAAGGAAGACGGCCCUACGGGUUGUAAACUUCUUUUAUACGGGAAUAAAGUGCCCCACGUGUGGGGUUUUGCAUGUACCGUAUGAAUAAGGAUCGGCUAACUCCGUGCCAGCAGCCGCGGUAA